UACGGAGGGUGCAAGCGUUAUCCGGAUUCACUGGGUUUAAAGGGUGCGUAGGUGGGCAGGUAAGUCAGUGGUGAAAUCUCCGGGCUUAACCCGGAACUGCCGUUGAUACUAUCUGUCUUGAAUGUAGUGGAGGUGAGCGGAAUAUGUCAUGUAGCGGUGAAAUGCUUAGAUAUGACAUAGAACACCCAUUGCGAAGGCAGCUCGCUACACUAUUAUUGACACUGAGGCACGAAACGCGUGGGGAGCAAACAGG
rnacentral:rRNA from 1 species